CUCUCUCCGGUGACUUAGACUGCACCAUGGCCAUAUAGACAGCCUUUUCUAGGCGUGAAAAGUUCUCAGUUAAUGUGAAAAGUUCUACGGGAAAACAAGGAUGUUAUUGUUUAUGCAUGCGAUUGUAGUGAUGAGACUCUUGAUAGAGCUAAGGAAAUUAUAAAUGCGAAUGGAGCUGAAUCCUUUAAGCAUCAUUUUCGUACUUUUUGUUGUGAUGUUUCCACUAAUGGAUUCCCAAAUUGGCUGGCAUGUAACCCCUGUAGAGAGAAUUAUUUACAAAACCAGUCAGAUGUAAAAGAGGAUAAUGGACUGAAUGUUAAGGAGUUGUGUUCAUCAGAAGGAUUUGACUGUUGUGUUGGAGGAGUAGAUUUUGUAACAUUGGUAU